rnacentral:rRNA from 1 species
AUUGAACGCUGGCGGCAUGCCUUACACAUGCAAGUCGAACGGCAGCACGGGUGCUUGCACCUGGUGGCGAGUGGCGAACGGGUGAGUAAUACAUCGGAACGUACCUUAUCGUGGGGGAUAACGCAGCGAAAGCUGUGCUAAUACCGCAUACGCCCUGAGGGGGAAAGCGGGGGAUCGAAAGACCUCGCGCGAUUAGAGCGGCCGAUGCCUGAUUGGCAUGUUGGUGGGGUAAAAGCCCACCAAGGCGACGAUCAGGAGCUGGUCUGAGAGGACGAUCAGCCACACUGGGACUGAGACACGGCCCAGACUCCUACGGGAGGCAGCAGUGGGGAAUUUUGGACAAUGGGGGCAACCCUGAUCCAGCAAUGCCGCGUGAGUGAAGAAGGCCUUCGGGUUGUAAAGCUCUUUUGUCAGGGAAGAAACACCGGCUCUAACACAGUCCGGGAAUGACGGUACCUGAAGAAUAAGCACCGGCUAACUACGUGCCAGCCGCCGCCGUAA